CAGGAUUUCUCAAAAGAAAAGAAAAUACUUACACACGUCAAAAACAAACAAAAACAAACAAAAAAACAGCGCAGCAAGGUGUAUUAGUUCUUUUUCUGUUAAUAACCAAUGCCACAGAUUUGGUAUGUUGGAAAGAGGUUUAUUUUGGUUCCUGGUUCUGUUCUGGAGGGGGCCCACAUUAGGCAAUAGCUUUCUUUUCUGGGGUAUGUGUACGAUGUUGGCGUGCACAUUCAUGUGUGUGAGUGUGGGCAUAUGCAUGCAUGUCUGAAGGUCAGGGAACACCCUCAGGUGUUGGUCCUAGCUUGGCACCUUGUCUGGGACAGGGUCACUCUCGUUCACCGCUGAGUACAGCAGGCUAGCUGGCCUGGUAGCCUCCGGGAGUGCUCCUUCUCUGCUCCUGGGGGCCUCCGGCAGUGCUCCUUCUCUGGUCUCCCAGCGGGUCUGAGAGCUUCCGGGAGUGCUCCUUCUCUGCUUCCCAGCUGGCCUGGGGGCCUCCGGCAGUACUCCUUCUCUGCUCUCCCAGCGGGCCUGGGAGCUUCGGGGAGUGCUCCUUCUCUGGUCUCCCAGAGGGCCAGGGAGUGCCCCUUCUCUGCUCUGGCCGCCCAGUGGUGGUACUCAGGUGUUGCAGGUAUGCGCUCCUGCACCUGCUUUUGUGCGGGUUCUGGAGAUUCAGGUGUCUGGCUCGCAAGUGCUUCAAUAGCUGAGCUGUCUCCUGGUGAUAGUCCUCUGGCUCGCAGAAUCUUAAGGUGGUACAGAGCCACACACGGCAAGAAACAGGGAACAUGUAUGUAUCUUCCCUGGUCUCUCUCUUAAAUGAAACCACCAGCACUCAUUCACGAGGGCUCCACCCCAUGGCUUACUUAAUACUAAUUACUUUCCAAAGGGCCCCUCUCUAAAUGCCAUGUUGGAUUAAUUUUCUAUCUUCUUCAUACCUCACAGUGAGGGUUAAGCUUCAACCCAUGGAUCCUUGGAUGAUAUUCCCAAGCCAUAUCCAACCCAUAGCACAACAUGUAGAGGGUUAUAGGUGGACACCAUGACUGUCACUAAGUAGAAUUCAUGGGGGCUCACGUUACUUUCUUGAUGCUGCGGUAAUAAGAUACCACACACAGUGGUUUACCACAACGAGUUUAUUCAUCACAUUUCUGGAAGGCAGAGGUUGAAAUUCAGUUUAUUGGACUAAAAUCAGGAUAUUGACCGGGCUAUGCUCCUUCUGGGGAAGCAAACGCUCCUUUUGGGGAGAAUCAGUUCUUUGACUCUUCUAAGACCCAGUGGUCAGGGGCACUCAUUGGUUUGUGGCCGUAUCAUUUCAAUCUCUAAGGCCAGCAUCUUCAAAUAUUACUUUUCUCCCUACUCUUUUUGCCUUUUCCUCUGUGUGUGACAGAUUUCCCACCGAUUUUUUUCCAGACAGGGUUUCUCUGUAGCUCUGGCUUUCUUGGGACUCGCUUUGUAGACCAGGCUGACCUGGAACUCAUAGAUCUCUACCUGCCUUUGCCUCCCGAGUGCUGGGAUUAAAGGCUUGCACCACCACCAGCUGGCUCCCACUAAUCUUAAAAGAGAUACAUGAUUACAUUUAUGACCCACCUGGCUAGUCCUAGAUAAUCUUUUUAUCUCAAGACCCUUAAUUUAACCACAUAUUUGAAGACUCUAUUCCAAUAUAGGGUAGUGCAAAUAGGGAUUGUUUGAUUUCCUUUCCUAUUUGUAGAUAUUUUAUUAUUUUUUUUGACUUACUUCUCUAGUUAAGACCCAGAACACUGUAUUAAGAGUGAUCAGAGUGGACACUCUUGUCCGGUUCCUGAUUUUAGAGGGAAUGUUUUGAGUUGUUCUUCCAUUUAGUAUAAUGUUGGCAUACACUUGUCAUACAUAGUCUUUUUUUAUGUUGAGGUAUGCUUUUUCUCUUGCUACUUUCUUCAGGGCUUUUAUUAUGAAAAGAUAUUGAACUUUGACAAAGGCCUGUUCUGCAUGUAUUGUGAUUGUGUGACUGCUGAUCUUGAACUUAAAAGUUAUCCUACCUCAGUCUCUAGGUGUUGGAACUACAGACUUAAACCUCCAUAUCCCUCUACAGAAGUUUUAUUUAUAGAGCCCAGACUAAGACACAACUCAAAGUCCAUCAGUGUGUAAAUAGAUAAGAGCAUUGUGGUGCCUCUAUACAAUGGAAUUCUACUAAGUAACAAAAGAGAAUAAAUUGUGAAUACUUGUGUGCUGGAUAGUUUUAUGUCUACUUGACACAAGUUAAAGUCAUCGGAGGAGGGAGUCUCAAUUAAGAAAAUGCUUCCAUAAUAUCUGUCUGUAGGCAAAUCUGUAGGGCAUUUUCUUAAUUAGUGAUUGAUGGGGAAGGGCCCAGCCUAUUGUGGGUGGUGCCACCCCUGGGCACAUGGUCCUGGGUUCUAUAAGAAACAGGCUGAGUAAGCCAUGGGAACAAGCCAGUAAGCAGCACCCGUCCAUGGCCUCUGCAUCAGCUCCUGCAUUAAGGUUCCUGCCCUGCUUGAGUUCCUGUCUUGGCUUCCUUCAAGACAGACUACUGCUGUAGAAUAUUAUUUUAAGAUUUUGCUGUGCAGAUACGAAUACAGAAGAGAUGAAGCUCCAUUCCUCCUACUUUCUCUCUCACCCUCCGUCUUCUCAUGGAAGGGUGAUGAUCAUCUCAGUAACAUUCAGUGAACAUCCUUCUGCAAGCUGCCUUUUAGCACAUAUAUACACAUCUCUUCAGAUCAGGAUGUAGAACUCUCAGCCAUUUCUUCAGUACCAUGUCUGUUUGUAGGCCAUCAGGAUCCUCACCACAAGGAUAAUGGACUAAACCUCUGAAACUGACUUCUAGAAGCUCCCAUCUUCAUCUAUAUAUCAACACCAUUGUCACCAUCAGUGUUGAAACCUGUAGUGGGUAGCUGUUCUAGCUAUGACCUUGAAGCACCGCCCCUAGAGAGGCAGCAAGUAACUGCUACACCUGCCUAUGACCUGUACAUGCCCCUGGGGUGUGGCUGCUCGGGACCCUUAAGGCCUGGGAUGCACAGCUCUCUUCAGUCCCUCGUGGUUUGGAUGCUGGAUGGACCGGGCAGAUCUUGGACCAGGCAGAAGAUCAGUGUGGGACAUAGCUUGGCUUUCCCAGAUCCUAUGAUAAAUCUCCCAUGCUGUAGUGAGUCUUACCCCCUAAUCAAUUCCUUGGCCCAUUAAAUAGACUCCAUGGAUUUCUUGCAAUAGAAACCUAUUACAUGUAUUUCUAUGUGUCAAUCGAAGUGGCUGUAUAACCAGGAAAAAAUCCUUUUCUGUAUCACACUGAUUGUUUUACCAUUUAAUUUUGGAAUAAACUCAACUUGGUUGUGAAAUUAAAUUAUUUUAUGUUUU